GGGCUCAUAGCUCAGCUGGUAGAGCACUACAAUGGCAUUGUAGGGGUCGCGGGUUCAAGUCCCGCUGAGUCCA
rnacentral:tRNA from 1 species